GAUGAACGCUGGCGGCGUGCCUAAUACAUGCAAGUCGAGCGAACGGACGAGAAGCUUGCUUCUCUGAUGUUAGCGGCGGACGGGUGAGUAACACGUGGAUAACCUACCUAUAAGACUGGGAUAACUUCGGGAAACCGGAGCUAAUACCGGAUAAUAUUUUGAACCGCAUGGUUCAAAAGUGAAAGACGGUCUUGCUGUCACUUGUAGAUGGAUCCGCGCUGCAUUAGCUAGUUGGUAAGGUAACGGCUUACCAAGGCAACGAUGCAUAGCCGACCUGAGAGGGUGAUCGGCCACACUGGAACUGAGACACGGUCCAGACUCCUACGGGAGGCAGCAGUAGGGAAUCUUCCGCAAUGGGCGAAAGCCUGACGGAGCAACGCCGCGUGAGUGAUGAAGGUCUUCGGAUCGUAAAACUCUGUUAUUAGGGAAGAACAUAUGUGUAAGUAACUGUGAACAUCUUGACGGUACCUAAUCAGAAAGCCACGGCUAACUACGUG
rnacentral:rRNA from 1 species